AGCUGGUCUGAGUGCAGUGGUGUUUACACCUAAUCGAUCACAACCAGUUAUAGAUUUCUUUGUUUCUUCUCCACUCCCACAGCUUCAAUUGACUAGUCUUAA
ensembl:misc_RNA Y_RNA Y RNA